GAUGAACGCUGGCGGCGUGCCUAAUACAUGCAAGUCGAGCGAACGGACGAGAAGCUUGCUUCUCUGAUGUUAGCGGCGGACGGGUGAGUAACACGUGGAUAACCUACCUAUAAGACUAGGAUAACUUCGGGAAACCGUAGCUAAUACCGGAUAAUAUUUUGAACCGCAUGGUUCAAAGGUGAAAGACGGUCUUGCUGUCACUUAUAGAUGGAUCCGCGCUGCAUUAGCUAGUUGGUAAGGUAACGGCUUACCAAGGCAACGAUGCAUAGCCGACCUGAGAGGGUGAUCGGCCACACUGGAACUGAGACACGGUCCAGACUCCUACGGGAGGCAGCAGUAGGGAAUCUUCCGCAAUGGGCGAAAGCCUGACGGAGCAACGCCGCGUGAGUGAUGAAGGUCUUCGGAUCGUAAAACUCUGUUAUUAGGGAAGAACAUAUGUGUAAGUAACUGUGCACAUCUUGACGGUACCUAAUCAGAAAGCCACGGCUAACUACGUG
rnacentral:rRNA from 1 species